rnacentral:misc_RNA from 1 species
CCGAGUGAUGCUCUUUUAGAGCUCCUCCCACCCUUUGUCAACUUACUCGUUGCUUCGGCGGACCACUGUAACAGGUCGUUGGCAUUCUGUGCGAACGAGUGUCCGCCGAAGAUUUUAACUCAAGUUUUGAAGUCUGAUUAUUUAAUUUAAUAAAUAA